rfam:Dipodomys ordii contig_69994, whole genome shotgun sequence.
GGGAAAGUGGCUCAAUGGUAGAGCGCUUGCCUUGCAUGCCAGAUGCCCUGGGUUCAAUUCCUCAGCACCA